UGUGUGUGUGAUUCUGAGACUGAGAUUGUAAAGAAUAUUACGGACAAAUCUAAUCAACAACUGGAUGUGAAUGAAGAGAGGUUAAGAUCUCAAAAUGCAGAUGAUCUGCUUUACCCUGUUGCUGUCUCCACACAGGAAAUUGCAGCAUCAUCUGGAAACCAUUUGCUUACAACUGACAGACCAGACCAGGCAGGUGAUUCACCGCUGGUGUUAAAGAACCCGGAUAUUGUUGGAAAUGCAAAGAUGAAACAGAAUGACAGAUCUAAGGGUGUUGGAGAAUUGGAGGUUGUUAGAAAAGAGAAGAGUGAAGGACAUUUAAAUUCUGUAUAUGAAAAUGAUUUAUGCAAUGCACCGAUAAAUGCUGCUACAGAAAAUGAGGUUAUUAAUAAUGACACAUCUGAAGAAUUCAAGCACAUGAAAGGGGGAGAGGACAACAAGGAGUGUGUUAAGGAAACUGAAGAAAAAAUCAAUGCAGAAAAUGAAACUAGUUCCUCUCAGGAAGAAGGGACUGAACAAAAAAAUGAAAAGCAGGGUGAAAGGAAGGAACAAGAAGUAAUGCGUUUUAAGGAGGAGAAGCAUAAUAAAGAAGAGACGAAUUCCUCUAAAACAUCAUGUGCUAAUGAGACACUUAAUUCUCAACCUGCUUUGACAAUGCAACAAAGUCCUAAUGAUGAAAUCAAAUGUGAUUCACAUCUGAUGCACUUGGAGGACAAUCUCGAUACACUUUUGACUGAGGAACCUGUUCAACAUGUGUCUGACAAUGUAAAAAUGAAUAAAAGUGUAUCCAAAAGAUUCAGUCAGGUGAUGGGAGGAGAGCAGAACAGGGAGAUUAUGCAAGAAAAUGAGGUGCAAAAUGUAAAAUCCAUUGCAGAAAAGGACAGCAAAAAAAGUGCAAAUACCUCUCAAGAACAGAAUGAGAUUGCUGCAAAAGAAAAAGCUGAUCAAACACAAGCAGAAAAUCAGACAUUAAUAAAUCUCUCUAAUCUAUCAGGAGAAAAAAAAUUAUUAGAUGAAACCAUUCCAAGAGGAAAAUUGCAUUCUAGCCCUAUGGAUGAUCCUGGUUUAACCUCUAAAGGGAUUAUAGAAGAGGCUCUGAGUUGUAGAGGGGCACUAACUGAAAAAUCUCCUCCAGUCGUUGAUCACACCCUGUCAGCAGUGGUGAAUGCUUCUCCUAAAAGAGACCACACACAAGAUCCAAGGGGUUUGAGCCAGUCAGAUUUGGCACUUUCACAAUCCGGAGAGCACCAGCUGCAACAGAACUUUAUGAGUGCCCCAAAAGCAAUGUUAAGUGUGAGUAAAAGCAACGUUUUAGAAAAUGCUGAGACCAAUAAUCAUGCAAAUGCUGAGGCAAGUGAAAAGCAAGAGAAGGUGGUGAUGUAUUAUAGUGCAGAGGCUCCAAGUUCCCUAAACAGCACAUCAGAGAGUGCUGCACUGGUGGGGGGCUAUAACAAAGAUGUUGCUGUGUUCAAUAUAUGUCCAGAGAAUGAAAAGAAGACAAUACAAACAAUAGAUCUUAAUGGUGGGAGAUUUCCUGUUUGUGGUGAAAGUACUUCAAGUGAAAUCCAACCUCAGUCAGCUCCCAGCUUGUCUAUAACAGCAUCGUCAGCUUUUGAAACUUUAGAAGUCAAACGGGUUAUAGAGGCUACAGAGGCAAAAGAGCCUGCCAUCUCAGCAUCA
ensembl:lncRNA